UCAUUUAGCUCUUUUAGGUUCUUUGCAUUUCCUUAUAAAUUUUAAAUUAGCUUGCCAAUGAAAAAGAAAAGAGUCUACUGGAAUUUUGAUUGAGAUGGCCUUCACUCUUUAGAUCAGUUUGAGGAGGAUUGAUAUCUUAAUAAUAUUGAACCUUCCAAUUUGUGUAUUUAGUUCAAUAUUCUUUCACUUUUCUCUGCAUUUAUUUAAGUGUACACACAGGUCUUGCACAUAUUUUGUUAAAUUAAUCUUUAAGUUUUUUGGUUUUUUUUUUUAGAUUUUAUUUACUUAUUUGACAGGCAGAGAGAGCCAGCAAGAGAGGGAACCAAGCAGGGAGAGCUGGAGAGGGAGAGGGAGAAGUAGGCUUCCUGCUGAGCCCCCGCUUAUGCAGGGCUUGAUCCCAGGACCCUAGGAUCAUGACCUGAGCCAAAAACAGAUGAUUAAUGACUGAGACAUCCAGGUGUCCCAAUCCUUAAAUAUCUAUAUCUAUAUCUAUCUAUCUAUAGAUAUUUAUAAAAACUUACUACUAAAAGGAUACUUAAAAAUGUUCAAUUUCCAAUUAUUCUUUGCUAAUAUAUAGAAAUACAAUUUUUUUUUUUUGGUAUAUUGACUUUAUAUGCUGUUAUCCUGUGACCUUGGUAAACUCAUUUAUUCUAGUAUUUUUUCUUUUAAUGGAUUCCUAGAUGCUUUUCUAUACCAACUAUUAUCCAUCUGUGAAUAUAGUUUUACCUCUUUUUUUUCUGAUAUGUAAGACUUUUAUUUCUUUUUCUUAACCUAGUACACUGGCUAGUACCUUUAGUCCUAUUCCAUAAUGUUGAAUAUAAGUGAUUAUAAUGGACAACGUUGUUUUCUUCCCAAUCUUAGUAGGAAAGUGUUAAGUCUUUCAUUGAUAGUGAAAGUACUACAUUAGCUGUCAGUUUUUUGAAAACGUUCUUUAUCAGGUUGAGGAAGUUCCCUUCUUUUCUAAAUCCUUUUAGAGUUUUUACAUGAGUGGCUGCUGAACUUUUUUUUUUUUUAAUCUUUUUGGCAUAGUGGUAAUCAUAAUAUUCCUUUAUUAUCCUUCUAAUAGCUAGCUACAGGAUCUGUAAUAAAACCCUCUAUCAUUUCUGAUAUUUGGUAAUAUUUUAUUUCUUUUUAAUGGAAAUUAGGAGUUUAUUAAUUUUAUUAAUGAUUUAAAAAAAUAACUUUUGAGAAUUGAAGAUGAGCACACUAUUUCUUUCUAGUUUUUGUUUUGGGAAUAGGAAAAAUGAAGGUUUAUUUUGUUUUUGUUUUUGUUUUUUUUUUUAAAGCCCAAAUUCAGAAAUGUAAUUAGAGAUGGCUUUGGGCAGCCACGGCUUUAAAAUAUUUUUGGUAAAAUACACAUACCAUAAAAUUUAGCAUCUUAAUCAUUUUUAAGUGUACCGUCCACUAGUGCUAACUGCAUUCACAAGUUUGUGCAAUCUAUCUCUAGAACCUAUUCCUCUUGAAUACUGAAAGUCUUCACCAUUAAAUAAUAACUUCCUAGUCCCCCUUCCAGACCCUGGCAACUGCCAUUCUGCAUUCUGUAUCUGUGAAUGACUACUCUAGCCAUCUCCUAUUAGUGGAAUCAUAUACUAUUUAUCUUUUUGUGACUUGCUUGUUUUAUUUGGUAUGAUGUCCUCAAGAUUUAUCCAUGCUGUAUUUAUCCAUGUGUCAGAAUUUCCUUUCUUUUUCAGGCUGAAUAAUAUUUUAUUGUAUGUGUAUUGUAUUUUAUUGUAUUUUGUGUAUUGCAUCAUAUUGUAUUGUGUAUUGUAUUUUAUUGUAUUUUGUUUGUCUACUCUUUUGUCAAUGGACAGAUGGGUUUGCUUCCACCUUUUGGCUUUUGUGAAUAAUGCUGCCAUGCGCAUAUGUGCAAAUAUCUGUUUGAGUCCCUACUGUAUCUUUUGGGGAGAUACCCAGAAAUAGAAUGGCUGGAUCACAUGAUAAUUCUAUUUUUAGUUUUCCAGGAACGGCCAUACUGUUUGCCACAGCAGAUGCACCGUUUUGCCUUCCCACCAACAGUGCCUACAGGAAACUGACCUGACACUAAGAAGAGAAUUCAUCCAGAAAUCACAGCCAAAGUAUGAUGUAAUAAAGAAUAGAUCUGGUUUUUGUUCUCUAUUCCUUGCACAGAGCUUCAAAGCACUUAGAAUUUCCCAACUGUCAGGUGUCUGUUUUGCUAAUGAGGUGUCUCCAGGGAGGGGUUAGCCACACCAAAAAGACCAAGCAACUAUACAGUUGGAACUUCUAGCCCUACAUCCUACCCCCAACCUGAAGAGAGGGAAGAGAGACUGGAAAUUGAGUUCAAUCAUAUGAAAACUCUGGACACCCAGGCUCACUGGAUUUCCUCGUUGGUGAUCUCACUGAUGUCCUGGGAGAGCAGAAGACCCAGACUCCAUGGCGACAGAACUCCUGAGCUCAGAACCCUCCCAAACCUUGCCUUAUGUAUCUCUUCAGUUGGCUGUUCAUGGGCAUUCUUUGUAAUAAAAUGGUACAAGGCUUA